CCCUUAGAUGUCCGGGGCCGCACGCGCGCUACACUGAAGGAAUCAGCGUGGCUUUCUCCCUGACCCGAAAGGGUUGGGAAACCCGUUGAAUCUCCUUCGUGAUAGGGAUUGGGGCUUGAAAUUGUUCCCCAUGAACGAGGAAUUCCCAGUAAGCGCGAGUCAUAAGCUCGCGUUGAUUACGUCCCUGCCCUUUGUACACACCGCCCGUCGCUACUACCGAUUGAACGGUUUAGUGAGGGCCUCGGAUUGGUGCCACUGCGGCUCAGCAAUGGGCUCGGUGGAUGCCGAAAAGUUGAUCAAACUUGAUCAUUUAGAGGAAGUAAAAGUCGUAACA
rnacentral:rRNA from 1 species